UGAAUUGACAUAAUGGAUGGUUCCGGAUCGGCCUUAAGCCUUCCGGAUGAAAAGGGAAUGUGACGGGGCGGACCCAAGCCGGGCGCUUUCAUCACAGCCGACCCCGCGACUGUAGAGCAGUCAGGGUCUUCCAUCCGGCAUUUCGAUUGCGGCGCCGACGGUUUUGCAUUCUGCAAGCGGGCAAGGCGGGACAAGUGCCGGAAAAGCCACUGGGAAUGCAUCGUGAUCAGCCGGGGCAGGACGCCUCUAAUUCUACGAAUCGUCCGCCUUUUCACGAGAUGCAGCCGGGAAGGCGAGGCAGAUCCGCUGGCACGAUCAGGGGCGACCGGAAACGGUCUGCCCCUGUCGCGGCCGAAAACUGCGAGCCAGGAGACCUGCCAUCCGUGCCGGGCAUAA
rnacentral:ncRNA from 1 species